rnacentral:rRNA from 1 species
GAUUAACGCUGGCGGCGUGCAUAACACAUGCAAGUCGAACGAUGAAACUUAACUGAUUUCUUCGGAAUGAUUUUAAGUGGAUUAGUGGCGGACGGGUGAGUAACGCGUGAGUAACCUGCCUUGGAGAAGGGGAUAGCCUUUGGAAACGAAGAAUAAUACUCUAUGAUAUGAUAAUAUCUCAUGAUAUUAUCAUCAAAGAUUUAUCGCUCUAAGAUGGACUUGCGUCUGAUUAGUUAGUUGGUGAGGUAACAGCUCACCAAGGCAGCGAUCAGUAGCCGGCUUGAGAGAGUGUACGGCCACAUUGGGACUGAGACACGGCCCAGACUCCUACGGGAGGCAGCAGUGGGGAAUUUUGCACAAUGGGGGAAACCCUGAUGCAGCGACGCCGCGUGAUUUAGAAGGCCUUCGGGUUGUAAAAAUCUUUUGUAUGGGAAGAAAAUGACAGUACCAUACGAAUAAGGACCGGCUAAUUACGUG